UUGAAUCUGCUCUCCUUUUAAGUCCGGACUCAUGUUCAAUUCAACUCUCGUUUCCAUGUUUGGUCCAGUCCACGGAAGAAGAGCAAAGGUUGGCCGUCAAGUAAUAUAAAUGGGUCAUCAGUUGUUUAGUUGAUGCGUUGUUCCCGCAGAAGAACUCGUCAAGAAAGUUGACCGAGCUGUGCAUAUUCGCUCGAGUCAUUGGUCAGCUUCCGCGUUCGGGAAUCUGCAAAGUAGAUAACAAGGUAAACAAACACACAUUUUCUCAUACCUUGCUGUUGCGCGAAAGCACAGCAAUAUGCCGCCCUCGGAAUAAUUUUGCUGUUAUAGGCUUAUGACUUACUUGAAGAAGCGCUUCAAAUUCACUUGAGGUGCUUGAUUAUGAAAAUCUUUAACCGUGCUCUUCAAAGAAACGACUCGAAACCAAGCGUACUCGGACGAAGCAACACUCACUCUGAACCUAAGCAGAGGGUACGGGCAAGCAUACGCGUUUAUCAUGCCUUCAGUCGUGCCUUGAAUUAUUCCUUCAUUAUCUUGACUUCCUCCUUGCCUCAGAUUCGCCAGAUAAAUGUUGACGCAGAAGUACAGAAGCGAGAACGCGUUGAUAUUGAGCGAAAGGUGCAGUCACAAAACAUCAAAUGCCAGCUCGUUCCCUACGUAGGAUGAAAGGUGGCACAAUGUCGCGAACUCAACUUAUUCUGAUCUACAGGCCCUGCUAAGGGUUGGGGAGUCUAUUUUGAGCAAGAGGAGGACUCGUGCCGGAGAUGACAGUCACCUUAAGGAAAAGGUCGCAAGAAUUCGUCAAGAAGAGGAAGAACGUAUUCGGGCAACCAUAGCGAACGACGCGGCGCGCAGUGCACUCGGUCUGUGGAUACAUUACACAUGCAUAGCUCCGACAACUUCCGAAGACGUUGAUAUACUUACUCAAUUCCGUUUCAGGCGAUGCAAAAUACUUGAAGUGGUUUGUAUCGUCCGGGGGCAAAGAAGCGGACCGUGAGUCACAGAGAAAACCUUCUCGAGAGCUGACUUGCAAGCAGAAUGAUGAGAAAGGUAUCCCACACAGUUGUAGAAGUCCUCUGCACCAGGGUCUAAGACGUUCUUCUGGCUGUCACGCAGAUUCGGAGAUUCGCUUCCU
rnacentral:lncRNA from 1 species